ensembl:lncRNA
CCCCUCAGAAAAUCAUACUCAGCAUGCUGGCCUAUACAAAUUUUUAUAGACAUUUUUUUAUAGGUGUAUUUGAUAUUUUUCCUACCUUUCUGACAUCAUUAUUUCAAAUGUACAUCUUACUCUGGUUUGAAAGUUAAAAGUUUAUAAUUUGGAUAUGUUGGUUUUGUUUUCAUAUAAAAACAUAUGUACUGACAUUCUGAGGCUACUUACAACUUUAUUAUUUUAGAAAAAAUGCUAUAGAAAGAGUUUUCACUUAGAAAUUAGUACAUUUCACAGUUACAAAGUAAAAUAUUUUGAAAAAUGUUGAACUGCAACAUUACCUGCAAUCAUAAUGUUCUCAAAAUAAUUUGUGCUUGUUGCUGCUACUGUUAUUGAUGCAUACUGUAUUUGUCUUUACAUAUCUAAUCCCAUAACGACCUGCAACCACCUCCUCCUGCUUAAAGUUUUCAUCCAGCUGGGGGCCAUGGAUUUCAUGAAAACCGUAACAGAAUCUGGCACCUCUCACCAUGUCAUUUUCGUCAAACCAAAACUUGGACCAAUUCUCAAUACAAAUUGUUCAUCGUGUUUCAGUAAUGGUACAUUUGCAAGACCUAUAUCAGAAGAACUGCUGAAGGACAUUAUGAAAUGCAGAGCAAAGGAAUACAGCAACAUACACUUGGUUUGUUAUUGUAGAUGUUUUAAUUUAUUUUUCUCAGGAUGGAGGAGAGACUUAUUAUUGCACCAGCCACCUCUCCUCUCCAAUAUCCAAUCACAGGUUUCACAGUAUCUCCAAUGCAAAAAUCUCUAA